rnacentral:lncRNA from 1 species
CUCUUUCAAGAAUUUGUAGAAUCAUUGAUAUAAUGUUUGUUUAUAUAUGCGAUGUUAAGCAGCAGUAUAUGGACAGAACACGUUCUGUCGUGAUAUAGUACCAAAACACAAGCUUUUACAUGUUCCGCUGCUAAAAAAAAACGUUUUUUUUUCAAAAGUGGCCAAAUCAUAUAUCGGAAUGGAGUUAAAGUGUAAACAGAUGACUUACAAGAUAGUCUAAGAGAUUUAUGAAUUGGUUACCCAAAAAUGACAAAGUUCAACUAUCUCUCAUUAGAGCAAAUAUUAAUAAAGAUCAAAACCCUGACCACAUGCAGACAGCAAAGUACGUUCUAGGAUUCAAACUAGAUGUUUUGCGGAAAAACUAUAAACUAUAAAGGGGGACGGACGGACGGACGGAAGGACGGGCGGUCAGACG